rnacentral:rRNA from 1 species
AGAGUUUGAUCAUGGCUCAGGACGAACGCUGGCGGCGUGCUUAACACAUGCAAGUCGAACGGACGAGUGAGAUAAGUUUACUUAACUCACAAGUUAGUGGCGGACGGGUGAGUAACACGUGGAUAAUCUACCUGCAACACCGGGAUAACGCUGUGAAAACGGUGCUAAUACCGGAUACGUUCCCUUGUGCGCAUGUAUGAGGGAAGAAAGCUCAGGCGGUUGCAGAUGAGUCCGCGGCUGAUUAGCUAGUUGGUGAGGUAAAGGCUCACCAAGGCGAUGAUCAGUAGCCGGCCUGAGAGGGUGAACGGCCACACUGGGACUGAGACACGGCCCAGACUCCUACGGGAGGCAGCAGUGGGGAAUCUUCCGCAAUGGGCGCAAGCCUGACGGAGCAACGCCGCGUGGGUGAAGAAGGCCUUCGGGUUGUAAAGCCCUGUCUUAUGGGAAGAAGUCAGUGACGGUACCAUAGGAGGAAGCCACGGCUAACUACGUGCCAGCAGCCGCGGUAAUACGUAGGUGGCGAGCGUUGUCCGGAAUUACUGGGCGUAAAGGGCGCGCAGGCGGGUUUUUAAGUCAGAUGUGUAAUCUACAGGCUCAACCUGUAGUUUGGAUCUGAUACUGGAAAUCUUGAGUGCAGGAGAGGACAGUGGAAUUCCUAGUGUAGCGGCGAAAUGCGUAGAUAUUAGGAGGAACACCAGUGGCGAAGGCGGCUGUCUGGCCUGCAACUGACGCUGAGGCGCGAAAGCGUGGGUAGCGAACAGGAUUAGAUACCCUGGUAGUCCACGCCGUAAACGAUGGGUACUAGGUGUAGGAGGUAUCGACCCCUUCUGUGCCGGAGUUAACACAAUAAGUACCCCGCCUGGGGACUACGGCCGCAAGGCUAAAACUCAAAUGAAUUGACGG